GACGAACGCUGGCGGCGUGCUUAACACAUGCAAGUCGAACGGAAAGGCCCUGCUUUUGUGGGGUGCUCGAGUGGCGAACGGGUGAGUAACACGUGAGUAACCUGCCCUUGACUUUGGGAUAACUUCAGGAAACUGGGGCUAAUACCGGAUAGGAGCUCCUGCUGCAUGGUGGGGGUUGGAAAGUUUCGGCGGUUGGGGAUGGACUCGCGGCUUAUCAGCUUGUUGGUGGGGUAGUGGCUUACCAAGGCUUUGACGGGUAGCCGGCCUGGGAGGGUGACCGGCCACAUUGGGACUGAGAUACGGCCCAGACUCCAACGGGAGGCAGCAGUGGGGAAUAUUGCACAAGGGGCGGAAGCCUGAUGCAGCAACGCCGCGUGCGGGAUGACGGCCUGCGGGUUGUAAACCGAUUUCGCCUGUGAUGAAGCGUGAGUGACGGUAAUGGGUAAAGAAGCACCGGCUAACUACGUG
rnacentral:rRNA from 1 species